UUUGCCUCCCACCAUUAUUCUGAGGCCUCCUCAGCCAUGUGGAACUGAUGACACAUCUAGAAGACCCUCACCUUAUGCUUAUGCUGGCCCCUUGAUCUUGGCCUCCAGAAAUAACCCAGAACAGCAAGAUUUUAGGAAUUAUUGGAAAAGCAUUUUUUGAACUGUGUGUUCAUCUUAAAAGCCAAAUUCUCCCUCCCUUCAAAGGACAGCAUGAGGUAUAAUGAAGAAUCUUGAGGUCCUCCUGGAUUACCAAAGUGGGCCCUAAAUCCAGUGGCAGAAGACACAGACACAGAGAGGAGACCAGGUGAAGACAAAAGAAGAGGCUGGAGUGAUGCAACCAUCAGAGAGUGAAAAUACUCAGUUACCUCCUGGUUUAUGAGGCAAUGAAGUAUUCCAGCACAUAAAUAUUGACGCUGAGACCCAUGGGAUGUAGGAGUGCUGAGCACAUUUGCAAGACAUAAAGACCGAAGGGAAGUUUACCAACCCUGGAGAACAUCAGCUCUCCCUUUCUUCCCUCUUUGCAAUUGAAUCUUGAAAGAAGCUAAACAAAUGGACAUGGAUGUGUUUCAAUAAAACUUUAUUUACAAAAACCAGCUGCGGGCUAGAUUUGGCUUAGAGGCUUUAGUUUGCUGACUCUUCUAGAGCAGAUGUGUGUGGUAUCUAGAUGAGAUGCAUGG
rnacentral:lncRNA from 10 species